AGUGAGACCACCUCCAAGGAUAUGGUGGACAUCUUCAACACCCACUAAUCUCCUGAGGUCAUCUUGAGUGACCGAGGUCAGGUGAGACUGAACAUGGACAAGGAGCAGGAGAAACAGAAGGAGUGCUACCGGAGCAGAGUCAAGAAGGGGACCAAGUGCUGCGCCAUCCGGGCAAAUUACUUGGUUUGGAAGAAGGACGAAAGGAAGGCAGAGACCUUGUUAACCUCACUGCUCCUAGCUGUGGUCACGAUCUGUUAAAGGUUACCUAGGAAGCCAACUAUCUUCUGCAGUUGGACGGUCUACCACUGGAAGCAUUGACGCCCUACACUUCAGUUAAGCCCAAUUUACAAAGACCAUCGACUGUCCGAGCCCCCCAGGAGGUAUCCCAUCUACCAGAACCAGUGAGUUCAGAUCAGUCUGAUUCUCUGUGCUCUGAGUCGGAGGGGGACUAGCUUGA